rnacentral:rRNA from 1 species
AGAGGACAGUGGAACUCCAUGUGUAGCGGUGAAAUGCGUAGAUAUAUGGAAGAACACCAGUGGCGAAGGCGGCUGUCUGGUCUGUAACUGACGCUGAGGCUCGAAAGUAUGGGUAGCAAACAGGAUUAGAUACCCUGGUAGUCCAUACCGUAAACGAUGAAUGCUAAGUGUUGGAGGGUUUCCCCCUUCAGUGCUGCAGCUAACGCAUUAAGCAUUCCGCCUGGGGAGUACGGCCGCAAGGCUGAAACUCAAAGGAAUUGACGGGGGCCCGCACAAGCGGUGGAGCAUGUGGUUUAAUUCGAAGCUACGCGAAGAACCUUACCAGGUCUUGACAUACUAUGCAAAUCUAAGAGAUUAGACGUUCCCUUCGGGGACAUGGAUACAGGUGGUGCAUGGUUGUCGUCAGCUCGUGUCGUGAGAUGUUGGGUUAAGUCCCGCAACGAGCGCAACCCUUAUUAUCAGUUGCCAGCAUUAAGUUGGGCACUCUGGUGAGACUGCCGGUGACAAACCGGAGGAAGGUGGGGAUGACGUCAAAUCAUCAUGCCCCUUAUGACCUGGGCUACACACGUGCUACAAUGGAUGGUACAACGAGUUGCGAACUCGCGAGAGUAAGCUAAUCUCUUAAAGCCAUUCUCAGUUCGGAUUGUAGGCUGCAACUCGCCUACAUGAAGUCGGAAUCGCUAGUAAUCGCGGAUCAGCAUGCCGCGGUGAAUACGUUCCCGGGCCUUGUACACACCGCCCGUCACACCAUGAGAGUUUGUAACACCCAAAGUCGGUGGGGUAACCUUUAGGAACCAGCCGCCUAAGGUGGGACAGAUGAUUAGGGUGAAGUCGUAACAAGGUAACCAAGGGCGAAUCG